GGGCGAUUAGCUCAGUCGGCUAGAGCGCUACGUUCACACCGUAGAGGUCACAGGUUCGAGCCCUGUAUCGCCCACCG
rnacentral:tRNA from 1 species